CGGGUGAGUAACGCGUGGAUAACCUGCCUCACACUGGGGGAUAACAGUUAGAAAUGACUGCUAAUACCGCAUAAGCGCACAGUACCGCAUGGUACAGUGUGAAAAACUCCGGUGGUGUGAGAUGGAUCCGCGUCUGAUUAGCCAGUUGGCGGGGUAACGGCCCACCAAAGCGACGAUCAGUAGCCGACCUGAGAGGGUGGCCGGCCACAUUGGGACUGAGACACGGCCCAA
rnacentral:rRNA from 1 species